AUAGCCGAGACUGACCCCAAGAAUGAGCAGGAACUCACCUCAGUGGUGCAGAAACUCCUGCAGCAGAUCCAAGAUAAAUUUCAGACCAUGUCUGACCAGAUCAUUGGGAGAACUGAUGAUAUGAGUAGUUGCACUGAUGAUCUGGAAAAGAACAUCGCAGAUCUCAUGACACAGGCUGGGGUGGAAGAACUGGAAAGUAAAAACAAGAUACCUGCCACACAAGAGGUG
rnacentral:lncRNA from 1 species